CUCCCGGUAGCUUAGCUGGUUUAAAGCGCAAGACUGUAAUAGUUCAAGUUAUCUUGAGAUCGGGCGUUCGACUCGCCCCCGGGAGA
rnacentral:tRNA from 2 species